AGGUCCCGCCUGCCCUGUGACCCAAAGUUUAACGGCCGCGGUAUUUUGACCGUGCGAAGGUAGCGUAAUCACUUGUCUUUUAAAUGAAGACCUGUAUGAAUGGCAUAACGAGGGCUAAGCUGUCUCCUUUCUCCAGUCAAUGAAAUUGAUCUGCCCGUGCAGAAGCGGGCAUACGCACAUAAGACGAGAAGACCCUAUGGAGCUUAAGACACCAGAAUAGCCCACGUUAAACAACCCUCCCCAAUGGAAUAAACCAAAUGGCCCCUAUUCCCCUGUCUUUGGUUGGGGCGACCGCGGAGGAACAAAGAUCCCCCACGUGGAACAGGCCAAGCCUUAAAGCCAGAGCCACAGCUCUAACAAACAGAAACUCUGACCACCAAGAUCCGGCAAAGCCGAUCAACGGACCCAGUUACCCUAGGGAUAACAGCGCAAUCCCCUUCUAGAGCCCAUAUCGACAAGGGGGUUUACGACCUCGAUGUUGGAUCAGGACCUCCUAAUGGUGCAGCCGCUAUUAAGGGUUCGUUUGUUCAACGAUUAAAGUCCUACGUGAU
rnacentral:rRNA from 1 species